GAUGAACGCUGGCGGCGUGCCUAAUACAUGCAAGUCGAGCGAACAGAUAAGGAGCUUGCUCCUUUGAAGUUAGCGGCGGACGGGUGAGUAACACGUGGGUAACCUACCUAUAAGACUGGGAUAACUUCGGGAAACCGGAGCUAAUACCGGAUAACAUUUAGAACCGCAUGGUUCUAAAGUGAAAGAUGGUUUUGCUAUCACUUAUAGAUGGACCCGCGCCGUAUUAGCUAGUUGGUAAGGUAACGGCUUACCAAGGCGACGAUACGUAGCCGACCUGAGAGGGUGAUCGGCCACACUGGAACUGAGACACGGUCCAGACUCCUACGGGAGGCAGCAGUAGGGAAUCUUACGCAAUGGGCGAAAGCCUGACGGAGCAACGCCGCGUGAGUGAUGAAGGGUUUCGGCUCGUAAAACUCUGUUAUUAGGGAAGAACAAAUGUGUAAGUAACUGUGCACAUCUUGACGGUACCUAAUCAGAAAGCCACGGCUAACUACGUG
rnacentral:rRNA from 1 species